CGGCUGACCUGCGACUGCCGCUUGGCGUGGAUCCUGCGGCUUGAGAACCUCACGCUGAGCGAAAAGUUCCGCCGUGACUGCGCCACGUCAGCUGCGAGUUCAGCGACCCGGCGCGCGGCAAAAGCAAGGUAACGCGCCUGAGCCUACAGGACUUGGGUUGUCCGGAGCACGUGACACUGGACCCGGACGCGCUUCCACCCAUUCCAGCUUACUCGACUUCGCCAUCGCCAUCGCAUCCUGGACCGGUGGCGACGACACUGCCGGGCGAGGAAACUACCAGCCACCCUCCAGAAGAGCAAACAAAACGACCGUCGGGCUCGGACAAAAAGUCGCCAACCGCCAACGACAAGCCGGGGUCAUCGGCACCACGCUUCGCAUCUGCCCCGUUCGCGAUCAUCGUUUCAGCUGUGCUUGGCUUCGGACGAGCAUGGUGAUAUGGCUGCGUGCCUUGAGCUUCGUUUUAUGUGCAAUGGGCCAUAAGAAAAAGACAGCUGCGUGCUUGUCACGCCUGAAGCGCGAGACAAACAUUGUCAUGCAGUGUGGACCGUGCCUUAGACUUUUGUAGGCAGCUUUCCUUCUCAGAGCUUCUAUGAACUGCAGUGAGUGACGCUUCCGGUGUGCUUGGGAAGAUUUCUGUGUGUACUGCGACGAGUGAUCGGUUCAUUUUUCACUCGCCAUGGAAUGGUGUCUCUAAGUGUGUCAAGUGCUUUCGUGCUGAUGUUCAUGUCGAAAUAUUACUGCCACUUGCAGUUCUCGCUUAUUCGCGCUAUUUUUUACAACUGUUCGUGCCUUCAGUUCAACAGGAUAUGCGGAAUUCUGGCACUAAUAUUUUUAAUGACUGUCCGAGUAGAAGAGAUUUGUCCUCUAGAUGCAUAGAGUUUCUCACUAGAUUACCUAGAGGGAAAUCUGGCGCUACUGCGCUGUGGUAUGCUUGGGAAUGCCGGUAUAUUGUGACUUCGGAUUGGCAUCGUUCUUGGAGAUCCAGAAUGAAGACGCGCCUGGCUAGCACCGUUCCGUCUGUCACAAUGAUUCAUUUCCUGCUGAAAUAGCACGUAAAAAGCUGUUUUAGCCUUUUUAUAUACACAAAAACAUGUUUUGUUUAAAUUUGAGGGCUUAUUAUAUGUACAAUUAUAUGAAACGUAAAAAGUAUCAGCUCGCCGCUAAAGUUGGAGGACAGACGACAAGGUUCUCGCUCGCUUUGGAAUUUGUCGUCUGUUCUUAAUUUUCUUCUCUUGAUUCUGCAUUGUAGGUGAGUAAACUUUAUUGAAAGAUGUAAUAUGUGUGAAUGAAAGCCUUUUAUGAAGAUUUUAUUUUAAGAACGCAUUAUUUGUGCAGCCAUAUCCACGUUUUAGACCAAGCCUCGUACAACACCAGCCAACACAAGCCUCGUAGACACAUAUCCCGUCAUUCCCAUGAUGGCAAAGCGCCCUUUAAGAAACUCGCAUAGACGGUGGCGCAGAUUACCCUCUAGGUGUUAUAGUGAGAAACUCUAUGACUAGACGGAAGCGUGAGUUUCCUUCUUCCGCCCCUGGCGGUCUGUCAAGAUAUACGAGACCUAUAUUCGUCAUGUGUAUUGACCCUUUUCGCGGCGAUCCCGUGGGCGCUGCCAUGUUUGAUCACGUGGUCACGCGUCCAUUGCUUGCCUCAACUGCCUCCGUUGCCGCCUUGUUUACAAUGGAACUGUAUUAUGAGGCCGGCGCGGCUUAGAAAACCUAUGUUUUCGGAGAUAUCAUAGACGGUGACUAGUUGGACGACACGAAGCUUUAAUCACAGCUUCAUAGAAAAUAAAAAGCGCUUUAGGAGCUGAUCAAGUUAUGUCCAAACGGCGCAAGCAGCGUAUAUAGUGCUUGUUCUAAAAGCGGAGCUAAAUAUGUAUUCCAAGCUAUCCAAACGUUCCGCUCAUGAAUUAAGUCAGGAUUAGUGUGUUUUGCUCUUUGUUCUUUAUUCGGCAAAUAUUUUUAAGCAGUGGCUUGUCAGUUUCCGACUCAGUGAAGUUCCUCGGUGUGGCCACUAUCUGAUUAUUUUCUGCCCAAUCGCUCGCGGGUGUGCUCAGUUCCGACAGAUUUGUUCUUGCUGCGCACUAUUAAGGCUUGAAGCGUAGCUGUUUCGUACAUUGUAAUACCUUGUAGCCAA